rnacentral:rRNA from 1 species
UACGCGCGGAUCUUCCAGAGAUUAGAGUUUGAUCCUGGCUCAGGGUGAACGCUGGCGGCGUGCUUGACACAUGCAAGUCGAACGGUAUGUGGCAACACAUAGAGUGGCGAACGGGUGAGUAACACGUGGGAACGUACCCUACGCAGGGGGAUAACUGACCGAAAGGACAGCUAAUACCGCAUAAGACCGAAAGGUGAAAGGUGCAACUGCACCGGCGAAGGAGCGGCCCGCGGACCAUCAGCUAGUUGGUGGGGUAAGAGCCUACCAAGGCGACGACGGAUAGCCGGCGUGAGAGCGUGGCCGGCCACAAGGACACUGAGAUACGGGUCCUACUCCUACGGGAGGCAGCAGUGCGGAAUUUUAGAUAAUGGAGGCAACUCUGAUCUAGCGACGCCGCGUGCAGGAAGAAGGUCUUCGGAUUGUAAACUGCUGUGGUAAGGGAAAAAUGCCAUGUAGAGUGGAAAGCUACAUGGAGGGAUGGUACUUUACUAGAAAGCCCCGGCUAACUACGUGCCAGCAGCCGCGGUAAUACGUAGGGGGCGAGCGUUACCCGGAAUCACUGGGCGUAAAGGGAGCGUAGGUGGCCUGACAUGUCAACUGUGAAAACCCGGAGCUCAACUCCGGACUUGCAGUUGAAACUGCCAGGCUUGAGGACGGUAGAGGAAGACGGAACUGCCAGUGUAGGGGUAAA